UGCAACGUCCUAUGGGAUGGAUAUUAUUUUCUUCCUCUUCUUACAGAUAAGCAAACUGAAGCAGAAGGGUUGAAACGUCGACAUAUAUUCCUCGUGAGCUGUCUGUGCCACUUCUCAGAUCAUUUGUAUCUAAAACCAGCCCUGAUGUAACGUGGGGUUGAUUGCAAAAUCUACAUGAAUAUUCAACGUGAAAUGGAGAAUUCAAAGAAAUAUUAUGCUGGUGCAGUGGCAGCUGUGUCGAGUUGGCGGCCCCAUCUGCAGCUCAGGAAGAACUAAAGUAGACUUGGAAGUUGAUUCAAGAGGGCUGUGUUGCUGGCUUGGAGGAAAGAAAACAAGUCAAACCCCAUGGAAGGCAGAGUGGACUGUGUGAGGAAUGAAGGAUUCAGCAUGGCCCUGGGAGUUAACAGACAAAGUUAG
rnacentral:lncRNA from 1 species